rnacentral:rRNA from 1 species
AGUGACAGACGGGUGAGUAACGCGUGGGAACCUACCCAGUAGUAUGGAACAACACAGAGAAAUUUGUGCUAAUACCGUAUACGCCCUUCGGGGGAAAGAUUUAUCGCUAUUGGAUGGGCCCGCGUUUGAUUAGCUAGUUGGUGAGGUAAUGGCUCACCAAGGCGACGAUCAAUAGCUGGUCUGAGAGGAUGAUCAGCCACACUGGGACUGAGACACGGCCCAGACUCCUACGGGAGGCAGCAGUGGGGAAUAUUGGACAAUGGGCGCAAGCCUGAUCCAGCCAUGCCGCGUGUGUGAUGAAGGCCCUAGGGUUGUAAAGCACUUUCAACGGUGAAGAUAAUGACGGUAACCGUAGAAGAAGCUCCGGCUAACUUCGUGCCAGCAGCCGCGGUAAUACGAAGGGAGCUAGCGU